rnacentral:lncRNA from 1 species
GACAUGGCCCCAACUCCUUUAAUUCUGAAGAAGACUGUUAUCCAGAGCCUGGUAGCAUUUGUUCUGGGGUUACCUGCAAAGAUCAAACCAACCAAACUUCUGCCGUUAGAUGGGAGGGAAGAGGCUUAUCUGGAUCACCCCCAAGACUGGAUCUUCGGAUUUCCUCUCCACUUUGGGAGCUUUCUUACAGGUGACCAGGAGACCUCUUAAACAUAAGUGACAUAAGGAUCCUGGUCUCCUUCCAUCGUUAACUUUGAGGCAACAUCUUACUAAGUUACCCAUGCUGACCUUGAAUGCACUCUGGAGACCAAGCAGGCCUUGGACUCAAGGACUGCUGCUUCUUCUGAAACACACGUGGAGGUGAGGUGUAGCCAUAACUCUAACUGCGAAGCUGUGGACUGUUUCCCAUCCCAACCUCGAUCAACUUUUCCUCAUAAUCUCUUGUCCCAGAGUAGAUGCAUCCAUCCUUUCAUAAAAUAAUUUACUAGGAGAGGA